UUAAUUGAAGAGUUUGAUCAUGGCUCAGAUUGAACGCUGGCGGCAGGCUUAACACAUGCAAGUCGAGCGGUAGCACAGGGGAGCUUGCUCCCCGGGUGACGAGCGGCGGACGGGUGAGUAAUGUCUGGGAAACUGCCUGAUGGAGGGGGAUAACUACUGGAAACGGUAGC
rnacentral:rRNA from 3 species